UUCACAGUAGCUGCAAAACUUUCGCAUGCGUAAGGCCACUUUCAUGGAACUUUGUGAGUUGCUUUCCCCGACCCUGAAGCGCAGGAAUACCAAGAUGAGAGCUGCCCUGACAAUUGAGAAGCCAGUGGCGAUAGCCUUGUGGAAGUUUGCAACACCUGACUGCUACCAGUCAGUCGGGAAUCAAUUCGGAGUGAGCAAAUCUACCGUGGGGACUGCUGUGAUCCAAGUAGCCAAUGCAAUCACUGACCUUCUGCUAACAAGGGUAGUGACUCUGGGAAAUGUGCAGGUCAUAAUGGAUGGCUUUGCUGCAAUGGGGUUUCCUAACUGUCGUGGGACAAUAGACGGAAAGCAUAUCCCUAUCUUGGCAUCAGACCACCUUGCCAACCAGUACAUAAACAAGGGUAUUUCAAUGGUGCUGCAAGCACCGGUGGAUCACAAGGGACAUUUC